CCCAGCACCCGUCACCCGCACACCUCUCCCAAUUCUUGCGGAGUGAGUCCAUGAGCAAAGACAAACAUCCCAUGGCGUUCACAGUUCUUUCGGGCCUGCUGGUAGAACUGCCUGCCUAUUUCCACCCAUUUAACCUGAUAGUAGAAAGAAGAGAACCAUAGCUGCUCACAGGCAAAUUCCAGUUUCAGGUCGGAUAGCUGCGAAUGUAGCCAUUCAAGGGCCAGCCUCUCAUUUGCCUCCCAACCCAACGAAUUUAGUAAACUAAUUUCCUCUGUGCGUUUCACUCAAUCACAUCACGAGUGACACAGUGCUCUGCUAAUGCUUCAGGACAGGAAUGGGCGUGAGUCACCGAGUCAGCACAGCAACAUGAAAGACUCACAGGUACGUGAGUUCCAUAGUGUCGGGUUUGAAAUAUAAAUAAGCAAGUGAGAGAACACCAAACUGAACAAAACACCAAUCUAUUCUCCAGUCUCCACCCGCCGCCCCCUUGCGGAGGUGGAGACUUGGAACGCAUCUUGCUUCCCGUCCUCGGACAUCCGCCAUGGAGUUUGUUCCUACAGCUGCAGCUGCACCCAUCAUGCGCGGGACACCGUCAGACUCGCCGCGUCCUCAUGUGGCCACAAGGACUGGUCUCUCCUGAGACGAAAUGGUAACAACCUGACACUGCUUCUCCCCCUAGACGCUGCCUACUGCCUCCCCACCCCAGGCCCUCGCCUGCCCUGAGCUCUGCACCCCCUGGACCGCAGGAGCUGGAUCACUUGGGGCACGGCUGGCCAGCGCUCCACCAAGGUGUGGCAUCCGUUCAUCUUUCAAGACCGACCGUGCUGGUGUGCUCGGGUUGCUGUGUGACCCCUGGAGUCACAACACUGACUUGAACAUCUUCCUCAUGGAAAAGGCAGCAAAGCGCUGACUACAAAGAUUGCUGCGGCCAAUGAACGCGCCUGAGCCAGCGUGCGGCACUCACCUUUGUCGGAGGACGCUGUCCUUCCGCCCUGGCCUACGUCCUUGUGGGUUGGCCUAUCUCUCAUUAACUGACUCAGUUAACUGUUCAAAUGGGCGAUUCCUUUUGAAAUCACAGCACUCCAUGGUUGAGUAUUGCCCAGGGAUUAUAAUUCCAAGCUCAUUACAGGCCAAACCUCCAGGGCCGGGUGACAUUUUAUCUAUGGAAGAUUGCCUGAAAAAUACAGAGAUGAGCCGCUCUGCUUUACCAUCUGCAAACGGCUGGACCCUCCUAGGACCCCUGAGGCCCACCCACGGCGGCUCGCUGCAGGUCUCCAUUAAACUCUUAGUGUAUGGGCCUUGUGGGACUCUGGGGCUCCCUGGGACAGUCUGCCCGGGACAGUCUAACUCAGCGGAAGAGGGUGAACUAGUAUCUUCUGCUGUGUUCAUUUGCGUCACUUUCUCUGCGCUCCUGGCUGUCUUUGGCUUCUUCUCAGUCGGCUCUGAAGCUGCAGCUUUGCCUUGACCCUGUUCUAAGCUCAUUCCCAUGAUCUUCUGCGCACCUCCCCAGGCUCCUCCAAGUCCCCACCUUUGUGCAUGAGGACCGCUAAAAUGCCUGCACACGCUCACACGCACACACGCGCGAGUCUUUCCCUGGGUUAGCUCGAGUUUCAGGGCCCCUUCUCCCAGCGCAUCCCCCCCAGCUGCCCCUCCGUCCCUGCCAACUGUGUGCUCAGCCCCUCCCGUGUGCGGCGCCGCACUCCAGGCCACUCCUUUUACCGUAACUGCCAUGUAGGCUGUGGCCACAGAGCAUACGACUCAACCACGCCUUCCAAAAAAACAAACUUCACUUACGGAGAGAUGCUCUGAAAAAUGGCCUUGCAAAACCUAUUGCUGUGCGUGGGAGAC